rnacentral:rRNA from 1 species
GAGUAAUGUCUGGGAAACUGCCUGAUGGAGGGGGAUAACUACUGGAAACGGUGGCUAAUACCGCAUAACGUCGCAAGACCAAAGAGGGGGACCUUCGGGCCUCUUGCCAUCAGAUGUGCCCAGAUGGGAUUAGCUUGUUGGUGAGGUAACGGCUCACCAAGGCGACGAUCCCUAGCUGGUCUGAGAGGAUGACCAGCCACACUGGAACUGAGACACGGUCCAGACUCCUACGGGAGGCAGCAGUGGGGAAUAUUGCACAAUGGGCGCAAGCCUGAUGCAGCCAUGCCGCGUGUAUGAAGAAGGCCUUCGGGUUGUAAAGUACUUUCAGCGGGGAGGAAGGUGUUGCGGUUAAUAACCGCAGCAAUUGACGUUACCCGCAGAAGAAGCACCGGCUAACUCCGUGCCAGCAGCCGCGGUAAUACGGAGGGUGCAAGCGUUAAUCGGAAUUACUGGGCGUAAAGCGCACGCAGGCGGUCUGUCAAGUCGGAUGUGAAAUCCCCGGGCUCAACCUGGGAACUGCAUUCGAAACUGGCAGGCUUGAGUCUUGUAGAGGGGGGUAGAAUUCCAGGUGUAGCGGUGAAAUGCGUAGAGAUCUGGAGGAAUACCGGUGGCGAAGGCGGCCCCCUGGACAAAGACUGACGCUCAGGUGCGAAAGCGUGGGGAGCAAACAGGAUUAGAUACCCUGGUAGUCCACGCCGUAAACGAUGUCUACUUGGAGGUUGUGCCCUUGAGGCGUGGCUUCCGGAGCUAACGCGUUAAGUAGACCGCCUGGGGAGUACGGCCGCAAGGUUAAAACUCAAAUGAAUUGACGGGGGCCCGCACAAGCGGUGGAGCAUGUGGUUUAAUUCGAUGCAACGCGAAGAACCUUACCUGGUCUUGACAUCCACGGAAGUUUUCAGAGAUGAGAAUGUGCCUUCGGGAACCGUGAGACA